UGGUAUUGCCUGCAGCAGACUCUGAGGUGUCUCUAGGGCCAACAUGUGUUGUUAGUCGAUCUUGGAUUUGUGUUUUCAAUGAUUUCACACAGUAGGAAAGUUAUCACUACAAAUAUACGAUCUGAGAGAAUCAAUGCUUGGCAUUUUGGUUAAGAUGAAAUUUCAUUAAAACAAACUUUAAUGCUGGCUUACAAAGGAGAAGAAGACAUAGAAACAUAUACCAGUUUUCUCUGGACUAAAUCACGUACCUGUGUCAAGGGAUAUUGGUAGCUCUACCUACUCAACUUGGUGGAGGAAAGGAUAGGUGGGAAAAGUGAGAGAUUCCUGAUUGUCGAAAUUCAUCUUUUAGAGCAAAGAAAGAAGUCCUGGCUUGUUGGUCAUGUGCUGAAUGGAUUGUCUUUGAGGCCUGUAUUUCCUGAUUCAAAAGCAAUGGAAAGGAGGUGCAGCAUCUGGUGGGAUGCUUCCUAUGGAAUGCACUCUGGGUGGGGCAGACAGUGAUAAAUAACUGUAUAGGGAUGUUUAUUUAGCACUCCAUAAAUGUUGGCUCUCCUUAUUGCCUUUCCUCUUCCUCCUCUCCUGAGUCAUUUUCUUCCUAACACCGAGGUCCUAAUGAGGG
rnacentral:lncRNA from 1 species